UACAGAGGGGGCGAGCGUUAUUCGGAAUUAUUGGGCGUAAAGGGCGCGUAGGCGGCUUUGCAAGUGACGGGUGAAAUCCCUCGGCUUAACCGAGGAACUGCCUGUCAAACUGCAUGGCUUGAGACCGGGAGAGGUGAGUGGAAUUCCCAGUGUAGCGGUGAAAUGCGUAGAUAUUGGGAGGAACACCAGUGGCGAAGGCGGCUCACUGGACCGGUACUGACGCUGAGGCGCGAAAGCCAGGGGAGCAAACGGG
rnacentral:rRNA from 1 species